AGAGUUUGAUCCUGGCUCAGGAUGAACGCUGGCGGCGUGCUUAACACAUGCAAGUCGAACGAUCCUUCGGGAUAGUGGCGGACGGGUGAGUAACGCGUGGGAAUCUGCCCUCAGGAGGGGGAUAACGGCUGGAAACGGCCGCUAAUACCCCAUAUGCCGAGAGGUGAAAUGAAUUUCGCCUGAGGAUGAGCCCGCGUCUGAUUAGCUAGUUGGUGGGGUAAAGGCCUACCAAGGCGACGAUCAGUAGCUGGUCUGAGAGGAUGAUCAGCCACACUGGGACUGAGACACGGCCCAGACUCCUACGGGAGGCAGCAGUGGGGAAUUUUCCGCAAUGGGCGAAAGCCUGACGGAGCAACGCCGCGUGAGGGAUGAAGGCCUCUGGGCUGUAAACCUCUUUUCUCAAGGAAGAAGAACUGACGGUACUUGAGGAAUAAGCCACGGCUAAUUCCGUGCCAGCAGCCGCGGUAAUACGGGAGUGGCAAGCGUUAUCCGGAAUUAUUGGGCGUAAAGCGUCCGCAGGCGGCCUUGUAAGUCUGUUGUUAAAGCGUGGAGCUCAACUCCAUUUAAGCAAUGGAAACUACAAGGCUGGAGUGUGGUAGGGGCAGAGGGAAUUCCCGGUGUAGCGGUGAAAUGCGUAGAUAUCGGGAAGAACACCAGUGGCGAAGGCGCUCUGCUGGGCCAUAACUGACGCUCAUGGACGAAAGCCAGGGGAGCGAAAGGGAUUAGAUACCCCUGUAGUCCUGGCCGUAAACGAUGAACACUAGGUGUCGGGGGAAUCGACCCCCUCGGUGUCGUAGCCAACGCGUUAAGUGUUCCGCCUGGGGAGUACGCACGCAAGUGUGAAACUCAAAGGAAUUGACGGGGGCCCGCACAAGCGGUGGAGUAUGUGGUUUAAUUCGAUGCAACGCGAAGAACCUUACCAGGGUUUGACAUCCUGCGAAUCCCUUGGAAACGAGGGAGUGCCUUCGGGAGCGCAGUGACAGGUGGUGCAUGGCUGUCGUCAGCUCGUGUCGUGAGAUGUUGGGUUAAGUCCCGCAACGAGCGCAACCCACGUCUUUAGUUGCCAGCAUUCAGUUGGGCACUCUAGAGAGACCGCCGGUGAUAAACCGGAGGAAGGUGUGGAUGACGUCAAGUCAUCAUGCCCCUUACAUCCUGGGCUACACACGUACUACAAUGCUACGGACAAAGGGCAGCAAGCUCGCGAGAGUUAGCAAAUCCCAUAAACCGUGGCUCAGUUCAGAUCGUAGGCUGCAACUCGCCUACGUGAAGGAGGAAUCGCUAGUAAUCGCAGGUCAGCAUACUGCGGUGAAUACGUUCCCGGGCCUUGUACACACCGCCCGUCACACCAUGGAAGUUGGCCAUGCCCGAAGUCGUUACUCCAACCCUUGUGGAGGAGGACGCCGAAGGUGGGGCUGAUGACUGGGGUGAAGUCGGAACAAGGUA
rnacentral:rRNA from 1 species